GGCAUCCACCCCCACCAGACCUAACCCUGGGGCUGCCUCCUCUUCUCCCACCCUGCCCUUGAGCCUCACAUUUGCCCCAGGAAGGAAGGGUGCUCGGCAGCUCUGGGUGCAGCUCCUGCUGGCCCCAGGACAUACACCUCUUUCUGGCCAGUGUCUUUCUUGCCAGGAUCACACCCACAGCCCUGUUUCGGCACCAAGGAAGGGACACGGAGUCCCCAGUGCCUCCUGACUCAACAACUUCACCCGCAUUAUCACGCGUAUUGCUCUGAACCAUACCCCCACUGGCAUCAGAAUUCCCUUGAACCUAGCUGGGCCCCACCCCGGCACUUCUCAUUCAGCGGCAGGUCAGGGGCAGGGGCCAGUGGUCAGCAUUUCUUCCAAGUUCCCAAGUGACAUUGCCACUGCUGGUCCAGUUGAGAACACUGUUCUAAGCACGUGGGACCUUAUUUGGAAACAGCAUCUUGGCAGAAGUCAUCAAGACGAGGUCCUCCACGAAUCGGGUGGGAUCUUAAUCCUGUAUUUAUGGUGUCCUGAUAAAAAGAGAGAAAUUCGGACAGACCUGCAGAGGGAAGAUGGUGUGAACACACAGGGACGAGCUGAGAUCACGGCAGAGACGGGAACGAUGAGGGCCCAAGGCAGGGAACCACCAAGGAUCACUGGCCACUGCGGGAGCCAGGGUCAGACGAGGGAGGAUUUUACCCAGGGAAAGCGCAGCCCUGCACACACCCUGGUCUUGGAAGUCUGGCCUCUUGAACUGGAGGGGAGCAGCCAUAGUUUGGUUUCAAGCCGUCCAUUCUGUGGCGCUGCCUCUGCUGGCCUUGGAGACGAACAGCCCUCCAUUCACAGUCUCAUGCGGUGGGGCUCAACCUCUCGGAGUCUCAUGGACCCUCAUGGACAGUGCGAUGCCGCUCGGCUGAGUGACUUUCAGCAAGCCUCAAAUUAACCCAUCUUCCAGAGAUAGGGACCACGAUGCCACCUCGCAGGUCGGGGGCGAAGAGCCAAAGGCAUCAAGUCUGAGAAGUGUGAGCAGGGUUGACUUAUUCCCUGGCAUUCUGUAACCGGUUUCUACUUUUUUCCCCCAAUUCUCCUCAGAAGCCCAGAGUCUCUGCUCAGGAAAGCGCUGGCGUCCAGCAGAGGAUGGCUGCGCUCCUCGAAGGCUCCUCUCUGAAGGCCCCCAUCCCACCCUGGGCCUUGCACGUGGACUGCAAACCUGGCGGAGCAGGAGGAAGGGCCCUUCGAUGCAUCCUCAUUUCCUCCUCUCCUCUGCCCUCCCCCCCCCACCUCUCCUUUCAUCUGGCUCCCUCCCCAGCUGAGACCCAGCGCUGGCUUGGUAUUUGGGACCGGUUCUGCCCCAGCCAGGCCAGCUGAGCAGAGCGACCCACCGGUCCCCACCUUCGAUGUGCUUGCACAGGUGCGGAGGGAACAAUCACAGGGGGCUUUUCCUGCCAAAAAGCAUUUGUUUCCUUUCGUUUUUGCUGCAUGAGCCUCCGCAGGUCUUCUGCCCAAAGCAUCAACUUCCUUCGAGGAGACUCCCUUGCAAGGUUCAAACCCUCCCUCAGCCUCCAGCAGCUGAGUGACCUUGGGCCGGUCACAUGUCACGUUCGUGAUUUUGGCCAGUCCUGGAAUGGAGAGCACAGCGCGAACCCCAUGUGGCCAGGAGGGACUCCAUGAGAUGGUGUGAGGGAGGAGCCUGUAGGAGCCUCCUGGUGUGUUUCUCCUCGUGUCUGAAGUCAGAAGCAAACACAGUCCACUAAGCCCCUUGCCUUGGACCACAACCUCUCGGUGCCUCUGUUUUCUCACCUGUUAAGUGGGUGAACGGUGCCUGGGUUUAAGUGCUGUUGGACACAUUCAUUGGUGUGACUAAAGCACUGAAGGCAGAGGCGACACCGCUCACUGCCUUCUUUGCAUCGUGAGGGUCAAGUCUCAAGGUCAGCCCAAAGAAAUCUUCCAAAUUUGCCCUUCAGGAUGGAGACCUCACACUGGACCACUGUCCAGCCCCAGCAGAGUCCCGGGGAGGAUUCUUCUGUCUGCACUCAGAAAGCAGAGCCUGUGACAUGCAGGGGGAUGGGGUUGCUGGGCUGGCUUUUGUUUUUCUGGGAGGGUUGUAAACACAGGAUAAUGAGGGCCUGAGAAA